rnacentral:rRNA from 1 species
UACGUAGGUCCCGAGCGUUGUCCGGAUUUAUUGGGCGUAAAGCGAGCGCAGGUGGUUUAUUAAGUCUGGUGUAAAAGGCAGUGGCUCAACCAUUGUGUGCAUUGGAAACUGGUAGACUUGAGUGCAGGAGAGGAGAGUGGAAUUCCAUGUGUAGCGGUGAAAUACGUAGAUAUAUGGAGGAACACCGGUGGCGAAAGCGGCUCUCUGGCCUGUAACUGACACUGAGGCUCGAAAGCGUGGGGAGCAAACAGG